rnacentral:lncRNA from 1 species
AUUUUUUUUCUUUUUUGAUUUUUUGAAUUUUCUUUUAUAAAUUUACAUUUUUUUUUACAAGAGCUCGUGGGCUUGUCAAAAAUGGCUCAUGGGCACACGGCCCACAAGCCACUCCUGGGCUCGAUGAGCCAAGCAGGCUCGAUUCGUGGGAUUGAGCCCCCUGCUCGGCUCAUGCUCAUGCUCAUCAUUUGACGAGUCCGAGUUUUAACGAGCCGAGUCGAUGAGCUGCUCAGUCCAUUUGACAUCCCUAUCAAGGAAUUUUGUUUAUUCAUGAUCGCCAUCAACUUGAACAUGCUGGCUUCGUUUGUUCAAAAUCUGAAUCUUGUAUGAUGGUUAGCUGAUCAUUUGCAAACGGGGGAUACCAUAUUCAGUUUUAAUCGUCCAAUAGGUGGCCUCACUGUCCAUGAAAGACUAUAUAAAUCGAUCUCACAUAUCAUCCCGAGUAGCAGUUGUUUGUAGAAUACAAUUAUGUAAUCGACUCCCCGAUACACUUCACACGUUUUUUCCAUGCUCAACUGAUUUUAGAUGUAAAAGUUUCACCAGAUAAUAGCAAUUUGUAUUGGUAAAUAGUUGUAUAAGUUGUGUUGAGUACA